rfam:Salmo salar isolate Sally breed double haploid chromosome ssa02, whole genome shotgun sequence.
UCCUGUGUAGCUCAGUUAGUAGAGCAUGGCGCUUCCAACGCCAGGGUUGUGGGUUUUAUUCCCACUUGGGAC